GACGUAGGGUGCAAGCGUUGUCCGGAUUUAUUGGGCGUAAAGAGCUCGUAGGCGGCUUGUUGCGUCGACUGUGAAAACCCGCGGCUUAACCGCGGGCUUGCAGUUGAUACGGGCAGACUAGAGUGUGGUAGGGGAGACUGGAAUUCCUGGUGUAGCGGUGAAAUGCGCAGAUAUCAGGAGGAACACCGAUGGCGAAGGCAGGUCUCUGGGCCACUACUGACGCUGAGAAGCGAAAGCAUGGGGAGCGAACAGG
rnacentral:rRNA from 1 species